rnacentral:rRNA from 1 species
AACUAACGCUGGCGGCGCGUCUUAAACAUGCAAGUCGAACGGAUGUAGCAAUACAUUAGUGGCGAACGGGUGAGUAACACGUAGGUAAUCUACCUCUGAGUCUGGAACAACCUGAUGAAAAUCAGGCUAAUACUGGAUAGUAUUAAUUUGGCGAAUGUCGGAUUAAUUAAAGCAUUUAUGCGCUGAGAGAUGAGCCUGCGGCUGAUUAGCUAGUUGGUAGGGUAAUGGCUUACCAAGGCGACGAUCAGUAGUUGGUCUGAGAGGACGGCCAGCCACACUGGGACUGAGACACGGCCCAGACUCCUACGGAGGCAGCAGUGGGGAAUUUUGGGACAAUGGGCGCAAGCCUGAUCCAGCAAUGCCGCGUGAGUGAAGAAGGCC